CCUACGGGAGACAGCAGUGGGGAAUAUUGGACAAUGGGGGGAACCCUGAUCCAGCGACGCCGCGUGAGUGAAGAAGUAUUUCGGUAUGUAAAGCUCUAUCAGCAGGGAAGAAAGAAAUGACGCUACCUGACUAAGAAGCCCCGGCUAACUACGUGCCAGCAGCCGCGGUAAUACGUCGGGGGCAAGCGUUACCAGGAUUGACUGGUUGUAAAGGGAGCGUAGACGGCUAUGCAAGUCUGAAGUGAAAGGCGGGGGCCCAACCCCUGGACUGCAUUUGAAACUGGAUGGCGUGAGUACAGGAGAGGUCAGUGGAAUUCCUGGUGUAGCGGUGAAAUGCGUAGAUAUGAGGAGGAACACCAGUGGCGAAGGCGGCUUACUGGACUGUAACUGACGUUGAGGCUCGAAAGCGUGGGGAGCAAACAGGAUUAGAUACCCUAGUAGUC
rnacentral:rRNA from 1 species